AAAAUGUAACUAUACGUUCAUCUAGAACCAUUAAUAUAGCUCAUAGUUAAACAACGGUACCACGUACAACAAUUUCAGUGUUUAUUGUUUCUUUACAAUUUCUUAUUCUUUAUUAUGAUUGAAAAAACGAUAAUUUACGUGUGGUUUCACGCAAACUGAAGGAAUUAUAUCAUGCAAUGACAAAAAUACAAUAUACGAUACAGUUCUACAAAAUGUGUGUGUGUGUUUUUAAAUAGAAUGUGUAGGACUCAUUUACCGUGCGGCUGCCAUGUUAAAUUUUGGUGGUUCGCUCGAGAAAGCCAGUUUUGUUGCUGUUAGUUUUUAAUUUAUUUCUUCGGAUCGUAAAUUGCACUAAACAAAUAAAGUUUAUUGCUGGUUUGAUUUGUGACAGUCAGAUGAGACCUUUGGAAGUUGGGGGUUGUCGACUUUCUUCGCUAACAUGGUUCUGCACGGAUGCGGCUUUUUUCCGGGUUCCCCCGACCAGCAUGUAUGUACUAUCAUGUGUACUAUGCAUGCACAAAGUGAAUUAUAGUUUCAUCCGAGAUUUCAUCUGUCGAUAAUAUUGUUCGUGGAUCAGUGUUUAUUUCAUCGUAUAUUUCGAAAAACUAAAUAGAUGUAUUGAUAAUGAAAUAUAAGUAUAUUUAAUAACAAUGUAAA